UACGUAGGGUGCGAGCGUUAAUCGGAAUUACUGGGCGUAAAGCGUGCGCAGGCGGUUUUGUAAGCCAGCUGUGAAAUCCCCGGGCUCAACCUGGGAACUGCAUUUGUGACUGCACAGCUGGAGUGCGGCAGAGGGGGAUGGAAUUCCGCGUGUAGCAGUGAAAUGCGUAGAGAUGUGGAGGAACACCGAUGGCGAAGGCAGCCCCCUGGGCUAACACUGACGCUCAUGCACGAAAGCGUGGGGAGCAAACAGG
rnacentral:rRNA from 1 species